rnacentral:rRNA from 1 species
AUUGAACGCUGGCGGCAGGCCUAACACAUGCAAGUCGAGCGAGCGGCGGACGGGUGAGUAAUUUUUGGGGCCUGCCCGAUAGAGGGGGAUAACUACUGGAAACGGUAGCUAAUACCGCAUCCUAUCGGAUAACCCAUAUGGGAUUAGCUAGUAGGUGGGGUAAUGGCUCACCUAGGCGACGAUCCCUAGCUGGUCUGAGCGUAGGAUCAGCCACACGGGUACUGAGACACGGCCCAGACUCCUACGGAGGCAGAAGUGGGGAAAAUUGCAAAAUGGGAGCAAGCCUGAUGCAGCCAGGCCGUGUGUAUGAAGAAGGCCUUAGGGUUGUAAAGUACUUUCAGUCGGGAGGCGUUACCGACAGAAGAAGCACCGGCUAACGCCGUGCCAGCAGCCGCGGUAAUAC